UUCUUGGGAAGCAUGUGGUGCAUUACAGCUUUGGUUUGGUUUGCAGUAGGUAUCUCAGGCAAUGGUCAGUCUCCAGCUAUCCACCAGAGCCCACAGUCAGUGGUGCAGGACAUUGGCAGCACCACUUCUCUGGAUUGUUCUCUGGAAGGAUAUUCCAACCCCAACCUCUACUGGUACAGGCUAAUCCCAGGAGGAGCAAUCGAACUCCUUUCCUAUUCAAUAAGCAAGGGAUCUGCAACAGAUGCUGGACUGACCCACAUCAAAGGGAUACGGCCCACUGAUGGCAGCUUCAACCUGGAAAUUGACAGCCUCACUACCAGCGACACUGGGACCUAUUACUGCGCCUGGAGUCACACACUGUACCAAGGGAGUGCAGCACCCUAACAAAAACCUUCCCUCUCUUUCUCCUUGAAAGUGAAGGAGCCCCACUUGCCUGCUGAGAGGCACCAAGCAGACCACAGGCCCAGGGUGCCUCCUUUGUGGCCUCAGUUGCCUUUCUUUCCAGUAAACACAAAGGGAACAGAAGCCACACGGGAGACUUCCUGGAUGUAUCAGGCAAUACAGCUGAACCUCAGUGUUCACUUUUGUCCUCUCAGACUAUCUGCAAGAGCCACUGUUUGGAACACCUUUAUAGGUGUCCACAAUCAAACUGCCAUAAAACUGUGCAAGCUUGUAAGAAUGUGUCCUCUUGAAUACUCUAACAAAACCU